UACGGAGGAUCCGAGCGUUAUCCGGAUUUAUUGGGUUUAAAGGGUGCGCAGGCGGCUCGGUAAGUCAGCGGUGAAAAGGUGCAGCUCAACUGUACCCGGGCCGUUGAUACUGCCGGGCUUGAAUGUGGGUGAAGCUGGCGGAAUGUGCAGUGUAGCGGUGAAAUGCAUAGAUAUUGCACAGAAGGCCGAUUGCGAAGGCAGCUGGCUAACCCAUAAUUGACGCUCAUGCACGAAAGCGUGGGGAUCAAACAGG
rnacentral:rRNA from 1 species